rnacentral:rRNA from 1 species
UAGAAUGCUAGUUGCGCGCUUCCCAGCUAUGUGGGAGGAGCGGCGAACAGNUNAGNAACACGUGGCUAACCUGCCCUUGGGACGGGAACACCCCCGGGAAACUGGGGCUAAUUCUCGAUAGGUGAAGAACUCUGGAAUGAGUCUUCGCCUAAAAGUCAUUUGGAUCAUGCUUCCAGGUGGCGCCCAAGGAUGGGGCCGCGACCGAUCAGGUUGUUGGUGAGGUAAUGGCUCACCAAGCCUUUAACCGGUGCGGGCCGUGAGAGCGGGAGCCCGGAGAUGGGCACUGAGACAAGGGCCCAGGUCCUACGGGGCGCAGCAGUCGCGAAAACUUUGCAAUACACGAAAGUGUGACAGGGUCAUCCCGAGUGCCGACCGCUGAGGUUGGCUUUUACCCAGUCUAGAAAGCUGGGGGAAUAAGGAGAGGGCAAGUCUGGUGUCAGCCGCCGCGGUAAUACCAGCUCUCCGAGUGGUGUGGACGUUUAUUGGGCCUAAAGCAUCCGUAGCUGGCUGGACAAGUCCCCUGUUAAACCCACCGAUUUAAUCGUUGGCUUGCGGGGGAUACUGCUCGGCUAGGGGACGAGAGAGGCAGACGGUAUUCCCGGGGUAGGGGUGAAAUCCUAUAAUCCCGAGAAGACCACCAGUGGCGAAGGCUGUCUGCUAGAACGCGCCCGACNGUGAGGGAUGAAAGCUGGGGGAGCGAACCGGAUUAGAUACCCGGGUAGUCCCAGCUGUAAACGAUGCAGACUAGGUGUUUGGACGGCCACNUGCCGUUCUAGUGCCGCAGGGGAA